rnacentral:hammerhead_ribozyme from 1 species
AUCCAGCUGACGAGUCCAAACUAGGACAAAGUGAACGCCCUGGAU